rnacentral:lncRNA from 1 species
CCCGCACCAAACUAUUUCAUCCACAGCUUAAGAGUUUAGACCAACAGUGACCAACAAACAUUAUCCACCUUGAAAGGCUUGAUCAUAUCAUGACAGGAAGAGGCGACAAAAGCACAGAAAUUACUAUAAUACAUCCAUGAAAACACUAAAGUUUUAUGUGUGUCUCAGUCACAGUGGCAAAAACAGCAUACAGAACCACAUAAUGCCGACUUUAAAUUGAUGUUCAGGCAUUCCACAAAUGUGGUGCUUGCGACAACAAAUUAAAGCAGGUGGACAACCAAUUGCAUCACCAAGACUAACGGACCUAAAAGAAGUUUGCUCAAAAUUUGAUUAACAUCAUUCACAUGUCAUCAAAUGGAGCAUGCAAUGGCAGCCAACCAAAACACCACCAGCACAAAUUUANCUACAACAACCAAGCAGGAUGAGAGAAAUAGAAGCAAUAAAAUAAUCCAAACUCUUUGUAUUAAGAACCAUAGAACUAGUCUUAGCAUCUAGCUAAAUAAGCCUCCGAAGAAAUCCUAUAUAGCAACCAUUUAAGCUCAAUGGUUUAGGAUUUCCUAUGGAUUUAGCAUGUCAGAGAUCAUUUCACAUGCUAUAACUUUAACAAUUGAAAAGAGGGAGAGAUGGCACAUCGAAACAAUAUAAACAUAACAUCCAGAACCAAAUUAGACAGAAUCUCACCAACAACCAAGAAUACCAAAUCCAGAUUGAACAAAUAGCGAUCAAAAUAUUCUCUCUCCAUCAAAACCCUCAUCCAAGAAUCAUCACAGCCUCUUUGUAUAGAACCCAAAAGCAAUGCCGCUCUCCCAGUUUGCGAAACAAAGAAGAAAAGCAAAAGAGAAGAAACAUAAACAAACAAAGAGAACAAGAUAACAAGAAGCACAACAUCACGGCCAUUAUCUAUGAUGCUAGUAGUGAUAGCAUGUUGAAAUUUAGAAUUUUUCAAAAAUAAUGGCUGUACCUGUUGGGGUUGCCUACGUACCCACUUCACAAGGGAGAUCAAGCCAUACGUAGUUCUUUUGAUUUAGAAA